GAUGAACGCUGGCGGCGUGCCUAAUACAUGCAAGUCGAGCGAACGGACGAGAAGCUUGCUUCUCUGAUGUUAGCGGCGGACGGGUGAGUAACACGUGGAUAACCUACCUAUAAGACUGGGACAACUUCGGGAAACCGUAGCUAAUACCGGAUAAUAUUUUGAACCGCAUGGUUCAAAAGUGAAAGACGGUCUUGCUGUCACUUAUAGAUGGAUCCGCGCUGCAUUAGCUAGUUGGUAAGGUAACGGCUUACCAAGGCAACGAUGCAUAGCCGACCUGAGAGGGUGAUCGGCCACACUGGAACUGAGACACGGUCCAGACUCCUACGGGAGGCAGCAGUAGGGAAUCUUCCGCAAUGGGCGAAAGCCUGACGGAGCAACGCCGCGUGAGUGAUGAAGGUCUUCGGAUCGUAAAACUCUGUUAUUAGGGAAGAACAUAUGUGUAAGUAACUGUGCACGUCUUGACGGUACCUAAUCAGAAAGCCACGGCUAACUACGUG
rnacentral:rRNA from 1 species